rnacentral:rRNA from 1 species
UACGUAGGGUGCGAGCGUUAAUCGGAAUUACUGGGCGUAAAGCGUGCGCAGGCGGUUUUGUAAGCCAGAUGUGAAAUCCCCGGGCUUAACCUGGGAAUGGCAUUUGGGACUGCAAGGCUGGAGUGCGGCAGAGGAGACUGGAAUUCCUGGUGUAGCAGUGAAAUGCGUAGAUAUCAGGAGGAACACCGAUGGCGAAGGCAGGUCUCUGGGCCGACACUGACGCUCAUGCACGAAAGCGUGGGGAGCGAACAGG